rnacentral:rRNA from 1 species
AUUGAACGCUGGCGGCAGGCUUAACACAUGCAAGUCGAGCGGGGUGAUGGUGCUUGCGCUAUCACUUAGCGGCGGACGGGUGAGUAAUGCUUAGGAAUCUGCCUAUUAGUGGGGGACUACAUCUCGAAAGGGAUGCUAAUACCGCAUACGUCCUACGGGAGAAAGCAGGGGAUCACUUGUGACCUUGCGCUAAUAGAUGAUCCUAAGUCGGAUUAGCUAGUUGGUGGGGUAAAGGCCUACCAAGGCGACGAUCUGUAGCGGGUCUGAGAGGAUGAUCCGCCACACUGGGACUGGGACACGGCCCAGACUCCUACGGGAGGCAGCAGUGGGGAAUAUUGGACAAUGGGGGGAACCCUGAUCCAGCCAUGCCGCGUGUGUGAAGAAGGCCUUAUGGUUGUAAAGCACUUUAAGCGAGGAGGAGGCUCUUUUGGUUAAUACCCAAGAUGAGUGUACGUUACUCGCAGAAUAAGCACCGGCUAACUCUGUGCCAGCCGCCGCUGUAA